ACUGAGUUUAUAAAAAAAUAAACAAAAAUAUAGAAAAUGAGGGAGAAAGUGAGAGGGGACGGUUCAGAUUAAGGGAUGGGAAUGGACGGUUGGGAUGAGUUAUCAGGCUGGGUAUAAAUAGGAUGAGAAAAUGAAGGAAAAAAGGAAAAAAAAAGAGAGAAGAGAGGAAAAGAAGUACUCGAUCGAGAAAUAGAGAGUGAGCUAGAGAAAUAGGAGACAAUUAAGGUGAUCGAGUGAGUUGUUGCUAUGUUGAGGAUGAUGGACGCAAGAGGUACUGUAAAUUUAAAUCUUAAACACUGAAAAUGGCAAUUUGUAGUUAAAUCCUACAUUAUGAUGAGUUCUGUGCAAUGAACCCUGUAAGCGGGAGAGAGACAGAGACAGAUAGAGACAGAGAGCGGGCCAACAGAGAGGAUCGGGAGCUGUGAAAUCUUAGAAGAGUCGGUAAUGAAUCAAGUUGAGAGGAGGAAG
rnacentral:lncRNA from 1 species